rnacentral:rRNA from 1 species
GACGAACGCUGGCGGCGUGCUUAACACAUGCAAGUCGAGCGGAAAGGCUCCUUCGGGGGUACUCGAGCGGCGAACGGGUGAGUAACACGUGAGUAAUCUGCCCUGUGCUCUGGGAUAGCCACCGGAAACGGUGAUUAAUACCGGAUAUGACCAGCUACUGCAUGGUGGUUGGUGGAAAGUUUUUCGGCACAGGAUGUGCUCGCGGCCUAUCAGCUUGUUGGUGAGGUAAUGGCUCACCAAGGCUUUGACGGGUAGCCGGCCUGAGAGGGUGACCGGUCACACUGGGACUGAGACACGGCCCAGACUCCUACGGGAGGCAGCAGUGGGGAAUAUUGGACAAUGGGCGGAAGCCUGAUCCAGCAACGCCGCGUGAGGGAUGACGGCCUUCGGGUUGUAAACCUCUUUCAGUACCGACGAAGCAAAAGUGACGGUAGGUACAGAAGAAGGACCGGCCAACUACGUGCCAGCCGCCGCCGUAAUAC